AACGAACGUUAGCGGCGCGCUUAACACAUGCAAGUCGCACGAGAAAGGGCUUCGGCCCCGGUACAGUGGCGCACGGGUGAGGAACACGUAGGUAAUCUGCCUUCGAGUGGUGGAUAACUCUCCGAAAGGGGAGCUAAUACAGCAUAAGACCACGUCCCUCCGGGGAUGUGGCCAAAGCGGGCCUCUCCAUGGAAGCUCGCGCUUGAAGAUGAGCCUGCGGCCCAUCAGCUAGUUGGGAGUGUAAAGGACUACCAAGGCGAAGACGGGUAGCUGGACGGAGAGGAUGAACAGCCCCACUGGAACUGAGACACGGUCCGGACUCCUACGGGAGGCAGCAGUGGGGAAUCUUGCGCAAUGGGCGAAAGCCUGACGCAGCGACGCCGCGUGAGCGAUGAAGGCCUUCGGGUUGUAAAGCUCUGUGGAUGGGGACGAAUAAGUAUACGCUAACAUCGUAUGCGAUGACGGUACCCAUUUAGCAAGCACCGGCUAACUCUGUGCCAGCCGCCGCAGUAA
rnacentral:rRNA from 1 species